GGCCCCCUGCCGCUUCUCUGCCGCAGCCUCUGUAUUCUUGAGACAGUGAGAGCAGCUGAAUUUUUGAGCCCCCCCCUCCUCCUCCUCUCUUCUUGCCGCACGCAGGCGAAACGCGCACACUCAGACGCAUUCCCGACUUCGGCUCAUGUGUGCGCGUGCGUUUUAUGCACUGCCCUGUCAUCAAGUGCCACAGCUCACGCGAUACGACGCUCCGGGCGUCAGGGCCAAACUCUCCACGAAAAAUAGCUAGGAACGUGGUGGUACGCCGGAAGCAAGGAAACGCAAAGAACUUCAAUGCCCCGAAAUCACUGCCGCGUUCCCUUGGAGCAGCAGUCCAGCGUGUCUGCAGCAUCGCAGACGACUCCGGCGCCAGCUAGCGACGCUCACGAGAACACGCGGGAAGUGGCGCCGAUGCCGUCUAUCAGGGCACUUGCAGCGAGAGCGAAGCAUCGCGGGCGCGGACGUCCGCGAAUCUACCCUAGAAAGACGUCCUCCGUGCACUCUCUCCACCCUCACUUUGCGCCGGCCGAGCCAGGGAGUGGCGAUCACGAUGAUGCCCUGACAGCGGCCGCGUUGCCUCCCGCUGUAUCCAACCAAACUUCCAUUACAGCGGCGAGCCAGCACGAAGUCACACAGAGUGCCGAUACUUUCGGAUCAGGGGCGGUGGCUUCGGCCGAGCUACCCUUGCCGCUGCCGCUAUCGCCUCAGGGCGUCCCAUUCUCGUCUAGUCGCAUUACCAGCGCUUCGUCCCUCGCUACGGCGAUCCCAGCCGACGCCGCGCAGGGGGGCGAGGAAACGGCGACCUUCUCCUCUCGCCCACCUUUACACUCGUCCACGCGGAGCAAAGCUGCUGUGCCGACAGGCGUUGCGGCAGACGAGGCCGACCGUGCGACGCUCGGCGCCCAGCCGCUCUUGCCCUCCAUGGCAGCCUGUAUGGCGGCGUGCUUCGGGUGGCGGCUCAAGAGGUGCAGCGUCAGCGAGGAGGCUCAGAUAACGUUUGUCCUGCAACAUCGGGCGAUACCGGUGGUGCGCGUGACGAUCGAGAGCGCUGGAGGUGCAUUCGCGCAGGCAUGUGGCGCUUCGAAUGAGACCGACGCUGGUGCGGUUCGUGUCAACGGCACUCCUAUGAGCCUCCCGCAGUGUGCAGCGUAUCUACAGGAGCUGACGCACGCGCUUUUCACUCUGUCGGACACGACGCGGUCUGCACCGCUGAAAGAUCGCGCGCCGGCCGCAGAGGAAGGGGAUAGUAAAGGGGAAGAGGAUGGAAAUUCGGUAUCGUCGCCCACCGUGCAGGCACCGCCUCUUUUGUCGCCGAGCGAGCAGGCGAAGGCCACCGAGAGGCGGGCCAGGAAGCGGGCGCGCAGUCGCUCACCCUUGCGGCACACAGACUCGACCGCUUCAGUGUCUCGCACAACUGAACUUCUUUCCUGCGCCACCGUGCCGAGCCUCACAGAGGGGCCUGCAGGUGCUGGAGGGGACGGCGAGGAGGCGAGCAAGAAGGUGUCACAGCCACAUCCUCCACCCUUGAACUCUUCCGACGUUACCCUGUCCCCGGCACCGCCAACACGACCGCCUCCUGUUUCUCUGGCCGCUGCCGACGUCAAGGUCGAAGCUGAGUCGUCACUGCUUGCGACGACUCCACCGAGAACAAGCGAGCAGGAGAACGACGUAGACACGCAGCCCUUGAGUGCACUGUCGACACUGGUUGCGACGAUGGAAGCUGGUGAGUCGUCGACGCCGCUUCCACGGGCUCCUCCUGCCCCGCGCACCAACACUGGCAAGCCCAGCGUGGCGUCAAGGCGGGCUGUGUCCUUGGCGGACAAGGGUGCCGCGACAAGAGAGUCGCCAACGUCUUCCACUGUCUUCGCUUCCCCAACCAUGCGACAGCGGCGCACUCUCGCUCCCGCCGCGGCCGCGGCCGCGGUCGCUGCGGGGCCGGCAUCAGCCAUCACAGGCGAGCAUCACGCCCCGCUGGCUUCUCUGACACCACCCCACGCAGGGCUCCGAACAGCAACCUUUACGAUGCCGCUUGCCUUCCAUCACACGUCUGCAUCCCCCCUCGCUGCGGGCGCUGCACCGGAGGAGUUCGAUGUGACCAGCUGCAAUACCGGCAGUAACGGUGGCCACCAAAGCGUCUGGUGCGACUCGGCUGGUUGGUCCACGGACUCAUCGCAACUCUGGUUGGCCCACACACACGCCGCCAGUCGUGCGUUCCAGUGCAUGCCUGUCCCCCGCUGUCGUGUGCCAGCGACCACGAAGGUCACCCAGCCACUCGGCGGCGAAGGUGCCGAAGGACAUGGAACCAGCACAGCCACACCUGCGUCCUCGACGGUGCCGCUGAUGGAUUCGGCAGCCGCAGCAGCUCUCGUGCGGAUGACGCUGCUCUGGCGAUGGCGCGAGCGCUCGUCGAUGUGGACGGCGAUGGAGGACUCGCUGCGUAUGGCUGUCGGUUCAGGCCAUCUUCGCGGCGACGCCCUCGAGGCCGGCGUGCAGGCGCUGCAAGCAAGCGAGGAGGAGCAACGCCGAUACGAGGGAGUGGGCGCCGACGCCGGUGAGGGCGGCAGCGACCUAGGACCCUCGUGCGGCAGGACCGCACUGGAUGUGGGCCAGGUAGGCCAUGGAGCGGAGCGGCAGCAGACUCGGUCUUUUCCAGCCUGUCCGCCGCGGGCUCUGCUGCCGGUGUCGGGCAGGGCCGUCGUCGAGGCACAGCACCGUAUCACAGACUCCGAGGAGGAGAGAGGCGGGGAAGAGGGUGCACAUGGGCCACGCUACGUCGCAUGCGCUGGUGGCAUUCCCUCUGCUGACCGUAUUGUGAUUGACCACACCUAUUCCACUCGCGGCUCGUACGUGAUGGCAUCACCCGUGACGACAGAAGGGACAACAGCAACGCCGUGCCGCCUCUUGGCUCUGCAACGGAAUCCGCAGGAGGACCUGCACUACCAUGUGUACAAGCGCUUCAUGCCCGCCGACAUGCGCUUGGCAAUGGAAGCUGAAGAGACGCUGACGGUAGGGGCAGGCGACAUGGCUCCACUGCACGGGGCCAGCGCUGAGUUGUCGCCCGCCUACAAGCUGCGUCGAGAACAGAGCGGCGGCGAAGGCGACGACAACGAGGAUGACGAGGAGAGGGAUGACGGAGCUGACGACGCCGACGAGAAGAAAGCAUGCGACUCGUUCCAUGCCUCUCAGGCAGCACCGAGGGCUCCGGCAGCGACAACCAUGAUAGACGCAAGUGGGGGCGACCCAUUCACUGACAUGGACUACGUUCUUCGGCAUCGCCCAUCGAUUCGGCGCAUUCCAAUGCCGGAUGUGGAGUCUCGAUACGGGCCGUGAGGAUAAAGGCGUGGCAAGUGAGACGAAGGGAGACGCGUUCACAGACAGCCCUUUUUUUCGGCUAGACACGGCGCGCACUCAGCUGCCGUGUGAUGCUCUCCAGGCCGCCAUCGUCCGUGCCGUAUUACUGCGCGUCCACAAAUGCAGAGAGUAACCAAGGUUUUUUUUUAUUCAGCGUGCCCAUUUCUCUGCCAGAGAGCAAGACGUCAACUCCGCUCAAGUACCCCGGCAUGUGGCAGGCCCCUCUGCGUGGUGCGAUGCAGGCGUAGACACACGUGCUGCAGCAAUGUGCCGGCUCAGCCACCUGAGCGCGACCCCUGCCCCAAACUCUACACACCCACCUGCUUCGCCAGCCGCCGCCGGGUCCCGCCCUCUCGGGGGGACACACUCAGGCUCCCCACCAGCCGGCAGCGAGAGGCCGGGUGGGAUACGCUCACGUCACGCGGACCCUCUGCCUCAGCAUACGGAUGGCACAGUCCUGCCCACUGUCGCGGGCCGCUCCGACGCCACCUCAUCCACGGCCUGACCGCCCACAUCCGCAGCGGUGCAUCGCUCUGUCCACCCCUACGCCGUAGGUGCGUGACCCUGCCACCACAAGAAGUGGUUUGGCAUUGGCAGGGGUAUAUGGCAGGGAUAGGGGGGCUGCUUGGCUUCCUCGCACGCCGUGUGGGGGGCUCUUGAACCCCGAGAUACCACACUGAGGUGUAACCCCGUCAUUACGAACCAAGAAGAAGCUCAG
rnacentral:misc_RNA from 1 species